AUAUAUACAGCAAUGCUUUGGAUUUUUUAAAUAAUGCCAUAAGCUGAAGAUUCAGCUAUGCAUACCAUGAAACCCAUUACAUUUUCUAUUUAUUCAAUGCAACUUCAUUUGAUUUGCUUCCAAGUUUCCUGCAAUUGCUUUCUUUUACAGUUAUCAAUGCUUCCCAGCUGACAGCUCUAUUGUCUAUUUCCUUCGCCUAAGUUUGUGACAUAAUUCAAUUACUUUGUUAGCUGGAGAGCAUUCCUUUUUAAAUUUGCUUAACAUCACGUCCUGUUUUCAGAUUUGUUAAAGGUGUAUCUACAAUGGGUGCAUCCCAUGUAAUACUACUCAAUGUCUGACACUGCACUGUAUAUUGAUUGUUCAAAUAUAUUAUUUUUUGUAUCAUCUUAGUGUUAGUUUGCAUAGGAACAAUACUACCCCUAACUCC